rnacentral:rRNA from 1 species
GUGGGGAAUAUUCCGCAAUGGACGAAAGUCUGACGGAGCAACGCCGCGUGAGUGAUGAAGGUUUUCGGACUGUAAAGCUCUGUUGUUUAGGACGAAAGUGCCUGUUGCAAAUAGUUACAGGUAUUGACGGUACUGAACGAGGAAGCCACGGCUAACUACGUGCCAGCAGCCGCGGUAAUACGUAGGUGGCAAGCGUUGUCCGGAAUUAUUGGGCGUAAAGAGCAUGUAGGCGGGAAUCUAAGUCUGUUGUGAAAAUGCGGGGCUCAACCCCGUAUUGCGAUGGAAACUGGGUUUCUUGAGUGCAGGAGAGGAAAGGGGAAUUCCCAGUGUAGCGGUGAAAUGCGUAGAUAUUGGGAGGAACACCAGUGGCGAAGGCGCCUUUCUGGACUGUGUCUGACGCUGAGAUGCGAAAGCCAGGGUAGCGAACGGGAUUAGAAACCCCAGUAGUCC